CCUACGGGUGGCAGCAGUGAGGAAUAUUGGUCAAUGGGCGUAAGCCUGAACCAGCCAAGUCGCGUGAGGGAUGAAGGUUCUCUGGAUCGUAAACCUCUUUUAUAAGGGAAUAAAGUGCGGGACGUGUCCCGUUUUGUAUGUACCUUAUGAAUAAGGAUCGGCUAACUUCGUGCCAGCAGCCGCGGUAAUACGGUGGGUCCGUGCGUUAACUGGAUUUAUUGGGUUUAAAGGGUGCGUCGGCGGCCUUGUAAGUUAGCGGUGAAAGUCCGGGGCUCAACCAGAGAAUUGCCGUUGAUACUGGGAGGCUUGAGUAUGUUAGAGGCAGGCGGAAUUCGAGGUGUAGCGGUGAAAUGCGUAGAUAUCACGCAGAACCCCGAUGGCGAAGGCAGCCUGCCAGGCCAUUACUGACGCUGAUGCACGAAAGCGUGGGGAUCAAACAGGAUUAGAUACCCCUGUAGUC
rnacentral:rRNA from 1 species